AAUAAAGAAGUAAAAUAUACAUUUAGUUUCGACCUAAAAUCAUGACAAAUUUGUCCUUAUUU
rnacentral:tRNA from 1 species